ACUUCACACUUCACACUUCACACUCUUUGCACUUCACAUUUCACACUUCACACUCAUCACACUUGACACUCAUCACACUUGACACUUGACACUUCACACAUUUCACACUUCACACGUCACGCACUUGAACACUUUACACCCAUCACAAUUCACACUUCACACACUUCACACUUCCCCAAUUCCCGCACUUUGCACUUUGUCACACUUUGUCACAAUUCAAAUUUGUCAAACAUUUACACUUCACACAGCACACUUCACAUUUCACACUUUUCACACACUUCACAACAAGUGCUGAACAAAAUACUUACAAAACACUUCAAAAACACAUCUCAAGGACUUAACAAACAAUAACACUUAAAUAAACACUUAAAAAUCACACUUCACUAUUUACACCAAAACACCCAAACACAAACACUUAACCACUUCAAACCACUUCACCCUUCACACUACACACUUCAUACUUUAAAACAAAUACUUAAGCAUUUCAUACUGAAAUAAUUACUUUAACAUUCCACACAUGAACACAAACACACAAACACUUCACACUUGAACACUUAAUAGCUUAAAACAAACACCUUUAACACCUAAACACACAAACACACAAACACUUCACAAGUAAAUAAACACUUCACAAACAAUUACACUUAACUAACACAUAUAAAACACUUCACUAACAGUUAACAAACACUAACACUUAAAAAUUACACUUCACACUUAAAAAAAACACUUUAACACUUUAACGCUUAAACACACACUUUAACACUUAACACUUAAGCACACACUUUAGCACUUCACACUCAACACUUAACCACACACUUUAACACUUUAACGCUUAAACACACACUUUAACACUUAACACUUAAACACACACUUUAGCACUUCACACUCAACACAUAAACACACACUUAAACACUUAACACUUCAACACCUUAACACCUAAAUACCCAAACACCCAAAUACCCCAACACUAAUUGAUUUUAUAUGUACUAUUCCUAGAGAACUUACAUUUACAUUAUAAUAUAGGAAAGAGACUGAUUCAAGUAUAUAAUUUCUAUGAAUAAAAUUAUAUUUCAAAAACAUGUUUAAAUGCAAAACGAAAUUUAAAAAAUUAAAAAUUACAAAAAACCUUUAUCCUACCCCGCACUCUAAUAUAUAGAAGUAAGAAACUCUAUUACUUCAAUAAGAAUUAGAAAGCACCCGUCAAGUUUUGGCUUCAACUUCAUCUACUACCAAUAUAUUGUUGUGUAGUGCCAACUGUGCUUCUUCUAUCUGCAAACAAAAGAGUGAUUUAUGAGAAAAUAGAUAUCAACUGCAAAAUAAAGCUAGACCACUCAACUUGCAUCAUCAUAUGAAUUUAUAAAUACAUAUGCUUUUACCAACUCAAUAUGAUAAUUGACCUAGAACCUUGAUAAAUGGCAUGGACUCAAAAUCUCCUGCAAGCAUGAAAGUUGGUCGUAACAAACAGAAAAUUUUGAAAAUAAAUGUUACUGUCAUUUAUUAUAACUGUACCUAGAGUGUCAUCCAAUUCAAUGACACAUAUCUGCAGGUCCAGGCAUGCCUUCCACUGGUAUCAUUGUUACGCGUCCAAUCCACUUUUGAAUAGCAUCUAUAACGUGAGGAACAAUCUAUAGGUAGCAACAUUACACAAAGGCUAUUGCAAGCCACAAUAGCUGAUGGGUUCAAUAGUUAUUAAAUACCUGGACAGUUUUUUCAGAUAGUCUCCCCUUCUUUUCUUAUCUAUAACAUGCCAAAAGGAAAAAAAAUUAUUAAAAAGAAAUCAGCUAGCUGAUUAUUAUUUUUGAUUUCUCCUAGCAGCAGACACAAAAAUAAUCAAAAAAGAUGUGUAAGUUAAUCUCACCUAGUACAUUUUUUCAGUACUGAUAUUAUUGUCUCUUCUCAACUUGAUAUCCAAAAAAUUCAUAAUUUCUGAUGUCCAGGUUCACCUUUCAAACAACAAAAAAAAGUCAUUUUCUUCCUAACCUUUUAAGCAGUGAUACUUUCUAAACAAUAAUUAAUAGAGAUAAUAAAAGAAAUGAUAAUUAAAAAUUACUCGCCUUUUAGGAAAUAAGAAACUCCCACAUGUACAAAAUAAAAUCAAAAAAGCAUGUAAAAGAAAAUGAAUUCCAAACAGGAAAAAGUUAAUUAUGAUCAUAAAUUAGAAAAUUCACUUUUUGUAUAUGGAUUUCUCGAUAAUAUCAACAAAAAAAGACAAUUUUUUUUUCCUUUUACUUAAGAGUGGAGGAAGGAAGGAAUAGGAAGAGACCUAUUUAAUGAAAAUAACACGAAUACUAAAAAUCAACUACUAACUACUAACCACAAACUUACACACUUGUACACUUCAACAAACACUUGUACGUAACAAAAACUUAACAAAACGCUUCAAAAAUACUGCACAAAGACUUAACAAAUACUAACACUUAACAAACAAUAAAACUUAAAUAUCACAUUUCACACUUAACACCUAAACACACAAACACUUUAACAGUACACACUUCAAACCACUUCACACUACACAUUUCACACUUAAACAAACAUUUUAACACUUCACGCUUAAAUAAACACUAACUUUUAACACCUUAACACAAACACUUCACAUUUCACAAACACUACCAUUUACCAAACACUACAACUUAAACAUUACACUUCACACAUAAGUACUUCACACCCUUAGAGCUUAAUACAGUUAAAAAAAACGUAACAAAUACUUUACAAACACUUAACAAACUAACACCUAAGCAUCACACUUCACACCUUUACACUUUCACACUUAAACACAUAACAACUUAACACACAAAUACACUCACACACUUCACACUUAAGAAACACUAACACUUAAAUAUCAUACUUAACACUGCACGCUUUCACAAAUAAAUACUUAAACACCCAAACACUUAACACCUAACUUCACAUACUUCACACGCCUCACUAUUCACACUUAACAAACAAUAACACUUAAACAUCAUACUUUACACUGCACAUUUUCACACGUAAAUACCUAAACACUUAACACCUUAAUACCUAAACACCUAACUUAACACUUCACACACUUCACAAACUUCACACUCUUCACACUUCACACACUUCACACUCUUCACAACUCCUAACUUCACACUCUUCACACUUCACACAUCACACUUCACACUCUUCGCACUCCGCACUCUUCGCACUCCGCACACUCCGCACUCCGCACUCCGCUCCGCACUCCGCACGCCGCACGCCUUUCUCUCUCCAAAGCACUCUUCACAACACCUAACUUCAUACUUCACACACUUUACACUCUUCACACUCCGCACUCCGCACUCCGCACUCCGCACUCCGCACUCUUCACACUCUUCACAACACCUAACUUCAUACUUCACACACUUUACACUCUUCACACUUCACACUUCACACACAUCACACACACUUCACACUUCACACUUCUCACUCUUUACACUUCACAUUUCACACUUUACACUCGUCACACUUCACAAUUCACAAUUGGCACUUCACACACUCGAACACUUCAUACUCGUCACACUUCACACUUCACACUAUUCACACUUCCCGCACUUUGCACAUUGUCACACUUUGUCACACUUCACAUUUGUCACACACUUCACACUUCACACAUUUCACACACUUCACACUUUACACUUCACACAACACACUUCACACUUUUCACACACUUCACAAUAAGCGCAAAACAAAAUACUUACAAAACACUUCUCAAAGACCUAACAAACAAUAACACUUAAAUAAACACUUAAAAAUCACACUUCACGCUUUACACCAAACCACCCAAACACACAAACACUUAACCACUUCAAACCACUUCACCCUUCAUACUACACACUUCACACUUUAAAACAAAUACUUAAGCAUUUCAUACUUAAAUAAAUACACUAACAUUUAACACCUAAACACAAACACACAAACACUUCACACUUAAACACUUAAUAGCUCACCACAAACACCUAAACACACAAACAAUUACACUUAACAAACAAUUACAAAACACUUCACCAACAGUUAACAAACACUAACACUUAAAAAUUACACAUCACACUUAAAAAAAACACUUUAACACUUUAACACUUAAACACACACUUUAACACUUAACACCUAAGCACACACUUUAGCACUUCACACUCAACACAUAAACACACACUUUAACACUUAACGCUUCAAUACCUAAACACCUAAAUACCUAAACACCCAAACACCUCAACACUAAUUGAUUUUAGAUGUACUAUUCCUAGAGAACUUAUAUUUAUAUUAUAAUAUAGGAAAGAGACUUAUUCAAGUAUAUAAUUUCUAUGAAUAAAAUUAUAUUUCAAAAACAUGUUUAAAUGCAAAACGAAAUUUAAAAAUUUAAAAAUUACAAAAAAUCAUUAUCCUGCCACGCACUCUAAUAUAUAGAAAUAAGAAGCUCUUUUACUUCAAUAAAAAUUAGAAAGCACCCGUCAAGUUUUGGCUUCCUCUUCAUCUACUACCAAUAUAUUGUUGUGUAGUGCCAACUGUGCUUCUUCUAUCUGCAAACAAAAGAGUGAUUUAUGAGAAAACAGAGAUCAACUGCAAAAUAAAGCUAGAGCACUCAAUUUGCAUCAUCAUAUGAAUUUAUAAAUCCAUAUGCUCUUACCAACUCAAUAUGAUAAUUAACCUAGAACCUUGAUAAAUGGCAUGGAUUCAAAAUCUCCUGCAAGCAUAAAAGCUGAUCGUAACAAACAGAAAAUUUUGAAAAUAAAUGUUACUGUCAUUUAUUGUAACUGUACCUAGAGUGUCAUCCAAUUCAAUGACACAUAUCUGUAGGUCCAGACAUGCCUUCCACUGGUAUCAUUGUUACGCGUCCAAUCCACUUUUGAAUAGCAUCUAUAACAUGAGGAACAAUCUAUAGGUAGCAACAUUACACAAAGGCUAUUGCAAGCCACAAUAGCUUAUGGGUACAACAGUUAUUAAAUAUCUGGAGAGUUUUUGUCAGAUAGUCUCCCCUUCUUUUCUUAUCUAUAACAUGCCAAACGGGAAAAAAAUUAUUAAAAAGAAAUCAGCUAGCUGAUUAUUCUUUUUGGUUUCUCCUAGUAGGAGACACAAAAAUAAUCAAAAGAGAUGUGCAAGUUAAUCUCACCUGGUAAAUUUUUCCAGUACUGAUAUUAUUGUCUCUUCUCAACUUGAUAUCCAGAAAAUUCAUAAUUUCUGAUGUCCAGGUUCACCUUUCAAACAACAGGAAAAAGUUAAUUAUGAUCAUAAAUUGGAAAAUUCACCUUUUGUAUAUAGAUUUCUCCGUAAUAUCAACAAAAAAAAAAAUUUUUUUUACUUUUACUUAAAAGAGGAGGAAGAAAGGAAGAGGAAGAGACCUAUUUGAUUAAAAUAACACGAAUACUAAAAAUCAACUACUAACUACUAACCACAAACUCUUAACCCUAACCAUAACCUUAACCAUAUACUAACCCUAACACUUCACAAACACUUAACAAACACUUCAAAAACACUAAACAAACAAUAAACACUUGAACAUUAUACGUAAACUUCAUACUUAAGUGUUUGUACAAAUACUUAAAAAACAAUUAACAAAUACUUUAACAAACACUUCACAAACACUUAACAAACACUAACAUUUAAGCAUCACACUUCACACUUAAACACUAAACACCUUAACACCUUAACACACAAACAUACUCACACGCUUCAAACUUAACAAACAUUAACACUUAAACAUUACACUUUAUACUUUCACACUUAAACAAUUAAACAUUUAACACUUAAACACAAAAAAAAAAAGUUACACACUUGUACACUUCAACAAACACUUAUACCUAACAAAAACUUAACAAAACACUUCAAAAAUACUGCACAAGGACUUAACAAAUACUAACACUUAACAAACAGUAACACUUAAAUAUCACACUUCACCCUUAACACCUAAACACACAAACACUUUAACAGUACACACUUCAAACCACUUCACACUUAAAUAAACAUUUUAACACUUCACACUUAAAUAAACACUUUAACUUUUAACACCUUAACACAAACACUUCACACUUCACAAACAGUACCAUAUACCAAACACUACAACUUAAACAUCACACUUCACACAUAAGUGCUUAACACCUUAAGAGCUUAAUACACUUAAAAAAAACGUAACAAAUACUUCACAAACACUUAACAAACAAACACCUAAGCAUCAAACUUCACACUUCACACCUUCACACUUAAACACUUAACACCCUAACACACAAAUACACUCACACACUUCACACUUAAAAAACACUAACACUUAAACAUCACACUUCACACUACACGCUUUCACACAUAAACACUUAAACACCUAAACAAUUAACACCUUAACACCUAACUUCACAUACUUCACACGCAUCACACACUUCACAUUUCACACUUAAGAAACAAUAACACUUAAACAUCACACUUCACACUGCACAUUUUCACACGUAAACACCUAAACACUUAACACCUUAACACCUAAACACCAAACUUAACACUUCACACACUUCAUAAACUUCACACUCUUCACACUCUUCACACUUCACACACUUCACACUCUUCACAACACCUAACUUCACACUUCACACACUUCACACUUCAUACUACACUUCACACACAAUUCACACACUCUUCGCACUUCACACACUCUUCGCACUUCACACUCGUCACACUUCACACUUCACACUUCACACUUCACACUCGUCACACUUCACACUCGUCACACUUCACAUUUCACACUCGUCACACUUCACACUUCACACUUCACACUCGUCACACUUCACACUCUUCACACAUCACACUUCAUACUUCACACAACACACACUUCACACUUCACACUCUUCAUACUCUUCACAACACCUAACUUCAUACUUCACACACUUCACACUCUUCACACACUUCACACAUCACACACUUCACACAACACUUCACACACAAUUCACACACACUUCACAUUUCUUACUUCUCACUCUUUGUACUUCACAUUUCACACUUCACACUCGUCACACUUCACACUCGUCACACUUCGCACUUCGCACUUCGCACUUCGCACACUUGAACACUUGAACACUUCACACUCUUCACACUUCACACUUCGCACUUCACACUUCGCACUUCACACACUUCACACUCUUUACACUUCCCCACUUCCCGCACUUCGCACUUUGUCACACUUUGUCACACUUCACAUUUGUCACACACUUCACACUUCACACACUUCACACUUCACAUAGCACACUUCAUACUUCACACUUUUCACACACUUCACAACAAGCGCUGAACAAAAUACUUGCAAAACACUUCAAAAACACUUCUCAAUGACUUAACAAACAAUAACACUUAAAAAUCACACUUCACUAUUUACACCAAAACACCCAAACACACAAACAUUUAACCACUUCAAACCACUUCACCCUUCAUACUACACACUUCACACUUUAAAACAAAUACUUAAGCAUUUCAUACAUAAAUAAAUACUUUAACAUUUAACGCCUGAACACAAACACACAAACACUUCACACUUAAACAUUUAAUAGCUUAACACAAACACCUUAAUACAUAAAUACACAAACACACAAACACUUCACAAGUAAAUAAACACUUCACAAACAAUUACACUUAACUAACAAUUACAAAACACUUCACCAACAGUUAACAAACACUAACACUUAAAAAUUACACUUCAUACUUGAAAAAAACACUUUAACACUUUAAUGCUUAAACACACACUUUAACACUUAACACUUAAGCACACACUUUAGCACUUCACACUCAACACAUAAACACACACUUUAACACUAAACACUUCAACACCUUAACACCUAAAUACCUAAACACCCAAACACCUCAACACUAAUUGAUUUUAGAUAUACUAUUCCUAGAGAACUUACAUUUAUAUUAUAAUAUAGGAAAGAGACUUAUUCAAGUAUAUAAUUUUUAUAAAUAAAAUUAUAUUUCAAAAACAUGUUUAAAUGCAAAACGAAAUUUAAAAAUUUUAAAAUUUAAAAAUUACAAAAAAUCAAUAUUAUGCCCCGCACUCUAAUAUAUAGAAGUAAGAAGCUCUUUUACAUCAAUAAGAAUUAGAAUGCACUCGUCAAGUUUUGGCUUCUUGUUCAUCUACUACUAAUAUAUUGUUGUGUAGUGCCAACAGUGCUUCUUCUAUCUGCAAACAAAAGAGUGAUUUAUGAGAAAACAGAGAUCAACUGCAAAAUAAAGCUAGAGCACUCAACUUGCAUCAUCAUAUGAAUUUAUAAAUCUAUAUGCUCUUACCAACUCAAUAUGAUAAUUAACCUAGAACCUUGAUAAAUGGCAUGGACUCAAAAUCUCCUGCAAGCAUAAAAGCUGAUCGUAACAAACAGAAAAUUUUGAAAAUAAAUGUUACUGUCAUUUAUUGUAACUGUACCUAGAGUGUCAUCCAAUUCAAUGACACAUAUCUGUAGGUCCAGACAUGCCUUCCACUGGUAUCAUUGUUACGUGUCCAAUCCACUUUUGAAUAGCAUCUAUAACAUGAGGAACAAUCUAUAGGUAGCAACAUUACACAAAGGCUAUUGCAAGCCAAAAUAGCUUAUGGGUUCAAUAGUUAUUAAAUACCUGGACAGUUUUUGUCAGAUAGUCUCCCCUUCUUUUCUUAUCUAUAACAUGCCAAAAGGGAAAAAAUUUAUUAAAAAGAAAUCAGCUAGCUGAUUAUUCUUUUUGGUUUCUCCUAGUAGCAGACACAAAAAUAAUCAAAAGAGAUGUGCAAGUUAAUCUCACCUGGUAAAUUUUUCCAGUAUUGAUAUUAUUGUCUCUUCUCAACUUGAUAUCCAGAAAAUUCAUAAUUUCUGAUGUCCAGGUUCACCUUUCAAACAACAAAAAAAAAGUUAUUUUCUUCCCAACCUUUUAACCUGUGAUAUUUUCUAAACAAUAAUCAAUAGAGAUAAUAAAAGAAAUGAUAAUUGAAAAUUACUCGCUUUUUAGGAAAUAAGAAACUCUCACAUCUACAAAAUAAAAUCAAAAAAGCAUGUAAAAGAAAAUGAAUUCCAAACAGGAAAAAGUUAAUUAUGAUCAUAAAUUGGAAAAUUCACCUUUUGUAUAUGGAUUUCUCCAUAAUAUCAACAAAAAAAAUAAUUUUUUUUCCUUUUACUUAAAAGAGAAGGAAGUAAGGAAGAGGAAGAGACCUAUCUAAUGAAAAUAACACGAAUACUAAAAAUCAACUACUAACCACAAACUCUUAACCCUAACCCUAACCCUAACCUUGACCCUAUACUAACCCUAACACUUCACAAACACUUAAGCAAACACUUCAAAAACACUUAACAAACAAUAAACACUUGAACAUCAUACGUAAACUUCACACUUAAGUGUUUGUACAAAUACUUGAAAAAUAGUUAACAAAUACUUUAACAAACACUUCACAAACACUUAACAAACACUAACAUUUAAGCAUCACACUUCACACUUAAGCACUAAACACCUUAACACACAAACAUACUCACACGCUUCAAACUUAACAAACAUUAACACUUAAACACUACACUUCAUACUUUUACACUUAAACAAUUAAACAUUGAACACUUAAACACACAAAAAAACUUACACACUUGUCCACUUCAACAAACACUUAUACGUAGCAAAAACUUAACAAAACACUUCAAAAAUACUGCAUAAGGACUUAAAAAUACUAACACUUAACAAACAGUAACACUUAAAUAUCACACUUCAUACUUAACACCUAAACACACAAACACUUUAACAGUUCACACUUCAAACCACUUCACACUACACACUUCACACUUAAACAAACAUUUUAACACAUCACGCUUAAAUAAACACUUUAACUUUUAACACCUUAACACAAACACUUCACACUUCACAAAAACUACCAUUUACCAAACACUACAACUUAAACAUCACACUUCACACAUAAGUACUUAACACCUUAACAGCUAAAUACAGUUAAAAAAAAUGUAACAAAUACUUCACAAACACUUAACAAACUAACAGCUAAGCAUCACACUUCACACCUUCACACUUUCACACUUAAACACUUAACACCCUAACACACAAAUACACUCACACACUUCACACUUAAGAAACACUAACACUUAAACAUCACACUUCACACUGCACGCUUUCACUCAUAAACACUUAAACACCUAAACAUUUAACACCUUAACACCUAACUUCACAUACUUCACACGCUUCACACACUUCAAACUUCACACUUAACAAACAAUAACACUUAAACAUCACACUUCACACUGCACAUUUUCACACGUAAAUACCUAAACACUUAACACCUUAACACUUAAAUACCUUACUUAACACUUCACACACUUCACAAACUUCACACUCUUCACACUUCACACACUUCACACUCUUCACAACACCUAACUUCACACUUCACACACUUCACACUUCACACACUUCACAAUUCAAACACACUUCACACUCUUCACACUUCACUCUGCGCACUUCACUCUUCGCGCACUUCACACUCUUCACGCACUUCACUUCACACUUCACACGCACUUUACUCUUCGCGCACUUCACACGCACUUCACUCCACACUUCACGCGCUUCACACUUCACACUUCACGCGCUUCACGCGCUCCACGCGCUCCACGAGCUCCACGCGCCACGCUCCACGCUCCAUGCGCCACGCUCCACGCUCCACGCUCCACACUUCACACACACUUCAAACUUCACACUUCACACUUCACACACACUUCACACUUCACACUUCACACACACUUCACACUUCACACCUCACACACAAUUCACACUUCAUACUUCACACUUCACACUUCACACUUCACACACAAUUCACACUUCACACACUUCACACUUCACACUUCACACUUCUCACUCUUUGCACUUCACAUUUCACACUUCACACUCGUCACACUUCACAAUUCGCACUUCGCACUUCGCACUUCGCACACUUGAACACUUUACACUCGUCACACUUCACAGUUCACACUCUUCACACUUCCCCACUUCCCGCACUUCGCACUUUGUCACACUUCACAUUUGUCACACACUUCACACUUCACACAUUUCACACACUUCACACUUUACACUUCACACAGCACACUUCACACAUUUCACACACUUCACACUUUACACUUCACACAGCACACACUUCACACUUCACACUUUUCACACACUUCACAACAAGCGCUGAACAAAAUACUUACAAAACACUUCAAAAACACUUCUCAAGGACUUAACAAACAAUAACACUUAAAUAAACACUUAAAAAUCACACUUCACUCUUUACACCAAAACACCCAAAGACACAAACACUUAACCACUUCACCCUUCAUACUACACACUUCACACUUUAAAAAAAAUACUUAAGCAUUUCAUACUUAAAUAAAUACUUUAACAUUUAACACCUGAACACAAACACACAAACACUUCACACUUAAACACUUAAUACCUUAACACAAACACUUUAACACCUAAAUACACAAACACACAAACACUUCCCAAGUAAAUAAACACUUCACAAACAAUUACACUUAACUAACAAUUAGAAAACACUUCACCAACAGUUAACAAACACUAACACUUAAAAAUUACACUUCACACUUGAAAAAAACACUUUAACACUUUAAUGCUUAAACACACACUUCACACUUCACACACACUUCACACUCUUCACACUUCCCCACUUCCCGCACUUCGCACUUUGUCACACUUUGUCACACUUCACAUUUGUCACACACUUCACACUUCACACAUUUCACACACCUCACACUUCACACAGCACACUUCACACUCCACACUCCACACUUUUCACACACUUCACAACAAGCGCUGAACAAAAUAUUUACAAAACACUUCAAAAACACUUCCAAGGACUUAACAAACAAUGACACUUAAAUAAACACUUAAAAAUCACACUUCACUCUUUACACCAAAACACCCAAACACACAAACACUUAAACACUUCAAAUCACUUCACCCUUCAUACUACACACUUCACACUUUAAAACAAAUACUUAAGUAUUUCAUACUUAAAUAAAUACUUUAACAUUUAACACCUCAAACAAACACACAAACACUUCACACUUAAACACUUAAUAGCUUAACACAAACACCUAACACAUAAAAACACAAACACACAAACACUUCACAAGUAAAUAAACACUUCACAAACAAUUACACUUAACUAACAAUUACAAAACACUUCACCAAUAGUUAACAAACACUAACACUUAAAAAUUACAGUUCACACUUGAAAAAAACAUUUUAACACUUUAAUGCUUAAACACACACUUUAACACUUAACACUUAAGCACACACUUUAGCACUUCACACUCAACACAUAAACACACACUUUAACACUAAACACUUCAACACCAUAACACCUAAAUACCUAAACACCCAAACACCUCAACACUAAUUGAUUUUAGAUGUACUAUUCCUAAAGAACUUACAUUUAUAUUAUAAUAUAGGAAAGAGACUUAUUCAAGUAUAUAAUUUCUAUGAAUAAAAUUAUAUUUCAAAAACAUGUUUAAAUGCAAAAUGAAAUUUAAAAAUUUUAAAAUUAUAAAAAAUCAUUAUCCU
rnacentral:lncRNA from 1 species